GGCCAAAGUGAAAAUUACAAGAAGAAAUGUUUUUUUAAGUUUCAAGUUCAAAAAUCAUGUUUUAAGAUUUGUUUAUACAAAAAUUAGGUGAUAACUUGACUUUUUAAUAUUAAAUAAUAUUAUAAAAUUUAAUUAAUAUACUUCUCAAAUCGAAAUUUCACUCAAACCCUAUCAUAUCCUCUCUCUCCAUCGACGCUACACCACAGUAGAGAGCACCAUUGUGUGUAGCGGCGAUAAGCGCCACGCGGAGUAAGAGCCCGAAGUGGUGAUGCUGUUGUCGCUAUGCAUUGACGGGCACAACACUCAUUGUCGUUGCUAUGUACGCAAGCAGCGUUUGGGGCUCGUCGUUGCAACGCAAGGAAGAAUUUGUUGGUGGUGAUUUGGGGAUUUCCAUGGGAGGAGCUAUUGUGCGAUAAAUGAGGGUUGGGGGUGUGGAAAUGGGCAGAAGUACUAAAGAUGUGGUGGCAGCGAGUAGUUUUGGUCAUUUUCGACGCACUGGCAAAUCGAGAACAACCUGCAAAUUUGGUAUUCGAUUAUUCCGAUCUUCUCUCACCAGCGCUGUGACAUUGAGGUUGUGGCUUUGCAGUAUCGUCACUUCUAUUUCCUCUUUCUUUCUUCAUUUUUUUUUAUUUUUUAUUUUUUUUUUUACUUCUAUUGAGGUGGUGAUAAUUGUUGUUUGGUGGUUGUAGAUUGAGGUACAAGCGGUGGUGAUAGUGAUGGUUGUAGUAUAGGUAGUACCUUGUAGGUGGUAAUAUAUCUAAGGUUGUGGUGAUGUUGAUUUGAGGUGCGACGAUGAUGUUAGUGGUGCGUUGGAACAAGAUUGAUUGUGAUAAUUUAGGGCCUAUUUGAUUGCCUAUAAAAUUUUAAAUUGUUUAUUACAGUAUCAUUCUCCAUCACAUAUUCACACAAUAAAAUAUU
rnacentral:lncRNA from 1 species